rfam:Salmo salar isolate Sally breed double haploid chromosome ssa09, whole genome shotgun sequence.
UUCACUACUUACUGUAAGUCGCUCUGGAUAAGAGUGUCUGCUAAAUGACUAAAA